CUCUCCGCUCAGUGCUCUCGCGAGGACGUGGUUUCACCUGGUGGUCACAGUUUGUGCUUUAAAUUUGUGCUUUUGUGAAUUUUCCUAUUAAUUGUAUCCUACGCACUCAACGAAAGGGAAUAAGAUUUACUUUUGGCGGUUAUUAGAGGUUCCUGAAGAAAGAUAUCUGACUGUUCAAACUGGUCCGAGGAAAGUCGCGUGAACGUCACGAGUUCUUUAAAGAAAAACAGACGACGUACCGGAAGUUGUCUCAACUAGAGGAGAACAAGUCUACGUGUGCGCCAUGUCAAGCCGUGGGGAGGUGCUCAGAAUGGGUCAAAAGGAAUCAUAUAGGAUCACAACGGUGUUCCUGAUCUUGCUGCAUGUAGUGAGGGGAGAGAUCUGUACAGAAAACCAGUACAGACCCUUCUCCCUGCCUUGGUGCUGCACCAGCAAGUGUGGACCAGGAACUCGCAUUACACGACCAUGUGAUGAAGAUGACGAGGACAGUACGGAGUGUGAGCCGUGUGGGGAGGGUCUGUAUAACCCGGGAAGAGAUCAGGAC